rnacentral:rRNA from 1 species
CAGUAGCCACGGUAAUACAGAGGGUGCAAGCGUUAAUCGGAAUUACUGGGCGUAAAGCGCGCGUAGGUGGUUUGUUAAGUCGAAUGUGAAAUCCCCGGGCUCAACCUGGGAACUGCAUCCGAAACUGGCAAGCUAGAGUAUGGUAGAGGGUAGUGGAAUUUCCUGUGUAGCGGUGAAAUGCGUAGAUAUAGGAAGGAACACCAGUGGCGAAGGCGACUACCUGGACUGAUACUGACACUGAGGUGCGAAAGCGUGGGGAGCAAACAGGAUUAGAUACCCCAGUAGUCCCUGUCUCUUAUAC